CAGCACCAAAUUCUCGCGACAGCUACAACUGCUCCAUAUUACCGAUGUAGCUUCCCAUCCCCAUCUGCUCCAUCGGUCCCUGCUCUCACCUUCGGUCGACCAUGCCUCCUUCGCCGCCCCAUUCCCCCGCCAGACCUUACCCCAUCACCAUCCCUCCCACCAUGCUGGUGUGGCAUUUUGGCUCAGGAAACAAGCUGCACGCGCGUCCCAGGCAUCGUCCCACUAGUAUGUAUUCACCCGAACUAGGGUUGAUUAAUCACAUCUUUGACUCAGAUUUGAUCUCCUGUUCUGAUUUGCGUUAGCUUUGAUGCAAUGCUUGCUUCGAUGAAAUUUGUUUGAGUGUCUCUAUGUUAUAUCUGAAGCAUAAUGGAUCAUCAUGUCAUCUAGGAUUUUUUUGUUAAUUUCUUGUGCAAAUCACAAUAACCUGAUUCAAUUCCCAAUAUUUGCGGUAAUAUGAGUUUUGACAUGAUUUCAUAUUCGCAUGCUUCCAUCUAUGUAUAUAUCUGUUUCAAACUAAAAAUCUCCAUGCUUCGUAGUUCUGUAGCAUUUGUAAUGCUAUACAAAUUCUUCUGGACUCUAAUUUUUUGGCUUCCAAACACCAAGAUAUAAUAAUCAUAUCAAUCUAUAUGUUGAUGAGUCAAAACAUCCAUCCCUUGGUGGCCAAAUAAUUUUAAUUUUGCUUCAAUAUCCAUUGUUCUAUGCUUCAAUUUGAACCCAUGUGUAUAAUUUAUCUUGUAGGUAUCUUUCAUAUAGCAUAUUUCAAUCCAAUCGGCAACUGGAACUACAAAUAUGUAAUUUUCUUCCAUAGUUGCUAAUACCAGUGUUAUUCCAAUUGAAACAUGCAAUGCUUCUAUAUUAUAUUACAUAUCUUUUUUUCUUAUAUGUAAUUUGCUUCCAUAGUCCCAUCCUAUUCUUUGAUUAUUCAUUCUUCUAUUUCUGCCAGCACUGUUAUAAAAUAUACAUUGUCGUUGUCCUUCCUUCAUGCUAUUUUCAUCUCUGACAACGACACCCAGAUGGAUCCCCCGCACUGCUCCACACGACACGGCCCUUGGUCUGCCUGCAACCUGGGGCUUUGUCUUGAGUAGCCUGGCUGCACAUCCCAAUCCUUGUGGCAAGCUUUCCAAUUUGUGAAUUUAAUGACUUCUCUUCACCAGAAAUAAUGAACCAGAUCGACGAAGAGUUAUGCUGAAGCGAACGGCACAUUUUAUAAGGAGCGUCAUGACACUUGGAUCGGACCCCAGAUCUCAUGCUAGAUGUAGGGAAGCAAGUCUGUAGUCUAUAGGAAACUUACCAUAUGAACUGAAAAACAUUGUAUCGAAGGAAGCAUGUUUGUGGCACAUGAAGAUGGUGUAUGGAGCGCGGAAACAAACUUAUGUUUGGUUAGAAGCAAAUUAUUUUUGUGAUGAAAACACUUUUGUAUGGGAUGGAAGCAAAGUUUUCUUGUGUGGUAACAUAAUAAAAAAUAUGCAUGAGACCGAUUUUUUCUCU